rnacentral:rRNA from 1 species
GCCAGAGCCUUAUCUCCCUUCAAUUCUCGCCUGGUUUCCCACUGAAGCUAAGCAGGGUUGAGCCUGGCCAGUACCUGGAUAGGAGACCUGCUGGGGGAAACUAAGGUUGCUGCUGGAA